GAAUCAUUCGUGUUAGAGUCUCUUCCCUCUUAGUCCCUUUAUGCAGCUGGUCAAAUUAUGGCAGUUCUACCUCCUGACCGUUAAUGAUUCCCUUGCCGUCUGCACCCUGGCCCUCAUCAUGUCCUGCCUGGGCUACAGCGACGGUGCGCUUCUAACCAGGUUUCCUGUUCUCAGGUUCCCCAGUCCAUCCCACAGAUGAGUGUCAAGUUGUGUUUCAAAAUCACACGUCUGAUGCUGCUGCUCACCAGCUUUCAGUGACUGUCAACUGACGCCAUGGAAAAGGUCUGGCCACCCAGCUUCUGCCUCCACUACCUAGCUCUACGUGAGUCUCCACAGUGAUUUUGUGGACAUUAGACACUUGGUAAGUCAUGUAUGGAUGUGAGAGUUGGACUGUGAAGAAGGCUGAGCACCGAAGAAUUGGUGUUUUUGAACUGUGGUGUUGGAGAAGACUGUUGAGAGUCCCUUGGACUGCAAGGAGAUGCAACCAGUCCAUUCUGAAGGAGAUCAACCCUGGGAUUUCUUUGGAAGGAAUGAUGCUAAAGCUGAAGCUCCAGUACUUUGGUCACCUCAUGCGAAGAGUUGACUCAUUGGAAAAGACCCUGAUGCUGGGAGGGAUUGGGGGCAGGAGGAGAAGGGGACGACAGAGGAUGAGAUAGCUGGAUGGCAUCACGGACUCGAUGGACGUGAGUCUGAGUGACCUCCGGGAGUUGGUGAUGGACAGGGAGGCCUGGCGUGCUGCAAUUCAUGGGGUCGUGAAGAGUCGGACACAACUGAGCAACUAAACUGAACUGAAGGCUGCCUUAUAAGAAAUGCGGAAAGAAUUCUUUAAGCUGAAAUGAAAGGAUGCUAAUUAGUAACAUGAAAACAUAUGAAAAUAUACAACACGCUAGUAAAGUUAAUCAUACGGUCAGAUUCAGACUUGGUAACAGAUAGUGCUGAAAUAGGAUUGUCUGUUAACUACUUAACUGUAGUAUAAAGGUUAAAGACAAAAUACUAAAAACAGCUAUACUACAAUAAUUUGUUAAUGGAUACACAGUUUCAAUAAAAUACGUAAAUUGUGACAUCAGAAACAUAGAAAAGGAGUAAAAGGGUAGUUUUGUGUGCAAAGGUGAAUCAUCAGUGUAAAUAGUGUGUUAUGUUUAGUGUUUUAUGUAAGCCUCACAGUAACCACAAAGCAAACACCUACAACAGAUUCACAAAUUAUACAGAACGGGAACAAAAGGAUAGCAUUAUGGAAAAUAAGAAAAGCGAUAGUAAUCAAAAUAAUAUGGUCCUAGCAUAAAAACAAACAGACCAAUUGGACACACUUGAGAGUUCAGACAUAACCCUAACAUAUAGUCAGUGAAUGUUUGACAGUGGAACUUAGUAUACUUAAUGAGGAAAUGAUAGUUCUUUCCAUAGAUAGUACUGAGAAAACUGAAUAAGCCCUCAACAAGGAAAUUUGACACUUACUUUACACCACUCACAAAAAUUAACUCAAAAUAGAUUAGACUUAAACAUAAGAACUGAACAUGGAAAAUUUCAAGAUGAAAACAUGCAGCUAAAUCUCCUUAAUAUCAGUCUUGGCAGCAACUUUUUUUGAUACUGCAUCAAAAGUACAGGUAGCAAAAGUAAAAAUUAAUCACCAGAACUAUAUCAAACUAAAAAGCUUCUCACAGUGGAAAAAAAAAAUACAUAAAAUAAGAAGGCAACCUAUAGAAUGAGGGAAAUGUUUUCAAACUGAAAUCAUUUAUCUGAUAAGGAGUUAAUAAUCAAAAUAUGUAAAGAAUUAAUACAAUUCAGUAGCAAAAAAAUAAUCAAUCUGAUUGAAAAAUGGUCAGAGGCACUAACUAGACAUUUGUCUAAAGAAGACAUACAAAUAGACAAUAGGUAUGUGACAAUGUGAUGGAAAUCGCUAAAUAUCAGUAAAGUGAUGCAAGUCUAAACCAUGAGAUAUCACCUCCUACCUGUCAUGAUGGCUGUUAUCAACAGGGUAAAAGAUGACAAGCGUUAGCAAAACUGGAGAAAAGGGAACCUGUGCAUUCAGGGCACUGUUCGUGGGAUGCAGGUUGGUGCAGCCCCUAUAGAAGAGUGUCGAGGCUUCUCAGGGUAUUAAAACUAUAUCCACCACAUGAUCCAGCAAGUCCACUUCCAGGUAUAGUCAAAGCCAUUGGAAUCAGGACCUUGAUGCGAUAUAUGUACUUUUUAUAGGUACAUGUAUAUCUAUCUCUAUCAGUCUAUCGUGGAAUUACUAUCCAGCCAUGAGAAAGGAAGGAAAUUCUGUCAUUUAUAACAACACAGAUGGACUUAGAAGAAAUUAUGGUAAGUGAAAUAAGUCAAACAGAGAAAGACGUAUUCUGUAUUAUAUCUGUUAUACAGAAAUCUAAAAUAAUAACAAGUCAUAGAGGGAGUGGUUACCAAGGGCUGGGUGU
ensembl:lncRNA